AAGUACGGCGAUGUCAUCGUAUCGUGACUUAAGUACGGCGAUGUCAUCUUAUCGUGACUUAAGUACGGCGAUGUCAUCGCAUCGUGACUUAAGUACGGCGAUGUCAUCGUAUCGUGACUUAAGUCCGGUGAUGUCAUCUUAUCGUGACUUAAGUCCGGUGAUGUCAUCGCAUCGUGACUUAAAUACGGCGAUGUCAUCGUAUCGUGACUAAAGUACGGCGAUGUCAUCGUAUCGUGACUUAAGUACGGCGAUGUCACAAUCACUAAUCACAUUACUUAGUGGAUCAAUAUUUGUAUUCUUCCGUUUUUCAAGUGAAAUCAGUAAAAAAGAGAAUAAACAGUGUCAACACAAACGAUGUCGUCAGGUGCAAACAGAAAAGACACCGAGGUGGAAACAUAAUGUGGGUCGAAGGUCAUCACCAGUGAGGAGGACGAGAGACGAAAGGAGGAGGCAGAGGAGGUGACAGUACUGGGUUAGUCCACCGCGGCUGGAUGAGGAGUGACAGCGAAGGAGGAGAAACACUGAGGAGCCGUCAGAGUGGAGACGGUUCACCGCUAGAAGGUCAUCAGCCGAGAGAGGAGCGAGGAGAAUGAUGGACGGAGGUGGAGAGCAGGAGAGAGGAGAGAGGAGGCGGAAGAGGAAGAGGAGGCCACGCUGUCGGGUCGAUUUGCCUCUCAAAGUAAAAGGAGAAAAAGGGUGAGAUUUUGAGGGAGUGGAGAGGUGAUCAGGUUAGCUUUGAGGUGAGGAGAUGUGACGGUGAGGAGGAGGAGCAUCGUGCAGAGGAACAUGAAAGAUGUAAGAGCGGAGCUGCAGGAGGAAACAUUGCUUCAUUUUAGCAGAGAAGUGCAGCUUGAAACAGCAGCAGCAGCCGAAGGAAACAAGGAGACAGAGGAGCCGUCUCGUCCUCGCUGCAGACUUGAAUUAAAGUGGUUCAAACCAGAGAAGAUGUUCCCUCUGAAAAGGUGAAGGAUCCUUUUUACUUUUAGGGUUCUCUGUGUUUAGAAGUUUCCUCCAAUCUGCCAACGUGCAGAAGUCUCCUGUGAUGAAGCAGGAGGCGGGGCUUCAAUGGACUCCUGCAGUAGCUUCGCCGUCUCCAUCCUCUGAUCGACAUGCUCAUUUUGCAUCUCUUCUUCUUCUUAGCGGGAGAGGAAAAUGUCGACGUCCAGGAGUUAUGAAGUUAUGAAGUGACGUUUCAGUGCUUCAGGUAGUUGAAGACGAGGAGCGACGAAGGCUCUCGUGUUGGAACCUCCGGUUCACAACAUUAAGUCAGAGCUUCAUGACUUUAAGUUCUCAAAAUGGAUUUAGAGCUAAAUCUCUAUAGCGACCACCAGGGGGCGAGCGACCAACCACCUCCUCCUAAUUACGUGUCGUCCUCUUGACACAGUUAAUAUAUUUAACGUCAGCAAGCGCCUUCAAAACAUUAUACAAUUGCCCACUACUUUCUGGACAGAGCGCACAACUACACCCCCACCGCCCCGUGUUUAUCCGCCACACAAACAUUGGAGGCUCGAAAGGUUGGAGGCCUUCAAUGAGAAAAUAACUCCAUACGACCAUAAAGCUGAGUGACAGCUCUAUGAUAGACCAUAACGCAGGGUAUGCUUUGGGGCGGGGCUACACGUUGAUUGACAGGUGUAAUAUAAAAACUCAAAGUUCUGGUAAAAAAACAAGUUUUCCCUCGUUAAACACAGUAAAGCAACGAGACCUUUAGGAGUCAACUAGAGGAAAUCAUCACCUCCUCCCCUUCUCUCCUUCUCUCCUCUCCUCCCCUC
ensembl:lncRNA